UACGGAGGGAGCUAGCGUUGUUCGGAAUUACUGGGCGUAAAGCGCGCGUAGGCGGCUUUGUAAGUUAGAGGUGAAAGCCCGGGGCUCAACCCCGGAACUGCCUUUAAGACUGCAUCGCUUGAAUCCGGGAGAGGUGAGUGGAAUUCCGAGUGUAGAGGUGAAAUUCGUAGAUAUUCGGAAGAACACCAGUGGCGAAGGCGGCUCACUGGACCGGCAUUGACGCCUGAGGUGCGAAAGCGUGGGGAGCAAACAGG
rnacentral:rRNA from 1 species